rnacentral:rRNA from 1 species
UACAGAGGGUGCAAGCGUUAAUCGGAAUUACUGGGCGUAAAGCGUGCGUAGACGGUUAUGUAAGUUAGGUGUGAAAGCCCCGGGCUCAACCUGGGAAUUGCAUUUAAGACUGCAUAGCUAGGGUGCGGAAGAGGGAAGCGGAAUUUCCGGUGUAGCGGUGAAAUGCGUAGAUAUCGGAAGGAACAUCAGUGGCGAAAGCGGCUUCCUGGUCCAGCACCGACGUUCAGGCACGAAGGCCAGGGGAGCAAACGGG